GGGGGUGAAGUACACGUGGGUGAUCUGCCUCGCACUUCGGGAUAAGCCUGGGAAACUGGGUCUAAUACCGGAUAUGACCAGGGACUGCAUGGUUUUUGGUGGAAAGAUUUAUCGGUGCGAGAUGGGCCCGCGGCCUAUCAGCUUGUUGGUGGGGUAAUGGCCUACCAAGGCGACGACGGGUAGCCGGCCUGAGAGGGCGACCGGCCACACUGGGACUGAGACACGGCCCAGACUCCUACGGGAGGCAGCAGUGGGGAAUAUUGCACAAUGGGCGAAAGCCUGAUGCAGCGACGCCGCGUGAGGGAUGACGGCCUUCGGGUUGUAAACCUCUUUCGACAGGGACGAAGCGCAAGUGACGGUACCUGUAGAAGAAGCACCGGCCAACUACGUGCCAGCAGCCGCGGUAAUACGUAGGGUGCGAGCGUUGUCCGGAAUUACUGGGCGUAAAGAGCUUGUAGGCGGUUUGUCGCGUCGUC
rnacentral:rRNA from 1 species